rnacentral:rRNA from 1 species
UAGGGAAUCUUCGGCAAUGGGGGCAACCCUGACCGAGCAACGCCGCGUGAGUGAAGAAGGUUUUCGGAUCGUAAAGCUCUGUUGUAAGAGAAGAACGUGUGUGAGAGUGGAAAGUUCACACAGUGACGGUAACUUACCAGAAAGGGACGGCUAACUAUGUGCCAGCAGCCGCGGUAAUACGUAGGUCCCGAGCGUUGUCCGGAUUUAUUGGGCGUAAAGCGAGCGCAGGCGGUUUAAUAAGUCUGAAGUUAAAGGCAGUGGCUUAACCAUUGUUCGCUUUGGAAACUGUUAAACUUGAGUGCAGAAGGGGAGAGUGGAAUUCCAUGUGUAGCGGUGAAAUGCGUAGAUAUAUGGAGGAACACCGGUGGCGAAAGCGGCUCUCUGGUCUGUAACUGACGCUGAGGCUCGAAAGCGUGGGGAGCAAACAGG